ACUUUUCACUACUAAAAUAAGACAAGAACAGAACGCAGGAAACAAAAUAAGAAACGAGUUGGUUUGGAAGAUUCAGUGAAAUAUGAGUAAGAAAAUUCCGGAGUUGGAGCCAUCAACAAGCAGGAAGCGCCCACGGCAUGAGGAGGCAGAGCCCCAAACAGAAAAGGAUGUUGAAAAUUCACCUUCUCUUUCUUUAGAGGACAAUUUCACAUUCAGUGAUACUUUGAUGGCGCUUCGGAUGAUGCGCGCUCAGUUUCCUCACAUUCAAAAGGUUUCAAUUCCACCUUUUGUCUUGCAGUCGCAGUUGUACAGCAGCAUAAAAAAUAGGACUGAAGUGGACAGGGAAAUAGAGUCUCUUAAGAGGGAAAGAGUGGUUCGGAUAUUUAAGUUAAACACUGGACAGGAUGAUCAUGCCAUAAUGUUUACAGAUGACUACAUUAAUCAGAUUGAACAUGUUGUGAGAAGGAUGGAAGAAAAGAACACAAAUAAUCUUGUAGUUUUUGAGUGGUUCAAGACUCAUGUCAUACAGUCCAAGCUUGACACCAGCAUUGGUCAUCAAGAGCUGUGGUCUUUUUUGUCGUUAGGGGGAAAGGUGAAAGAGGAACAUAUCUCUCAAUUAAUUAGUGCUGGCCUUCUUUUUCCUUCUAGAUUCGCCAACUUAUUGAUCAGAACAUGUAUUGGUUUUCAAUUCCAAAUAUUGGCUCAGUGCUCAAAGGUCUCUCACAGGGAAGGAAGGAGCUUUUGUCUCUUCUAAACCGUAGAAAAUAUAAGGAGAUGAUGAUGGCUUCUUUGGAGAUGAAGCGUCUGAGAUUUUCUCCUCUAGAUAUGAGAUUUCAUCUACGAGAUCUGAUUGGUUCGGGUCAACUCAAAAUCAGUCAGACGCCAAGUGGCUUGAUUGUACGAGUUGCUAAAGAUUGAACUAUGGUAAGAUUCUUAUGAUGACAUUCGGUUUUCCAGCAGGUCACCGCGAUUUUCUUGAGACGAAAGUUCCUUAGCAAGGCUGAAACCUCUGCAAGAUUGCUUCUCCCUCCGAAAAGGUGUGGCAGAUUUUUGAAUUGAAAAACAUUAAGAUCUAUCUCCAUUGUUUCGAGCUGUCUUGAUUUCUAGUUGUAGGCUGUAGACUUUGGUACAUCAUGAUUCUGUUAUCAAUUAAAAAUGGCCCUUUUUUUGAUUGUA